ensembl:lncRNA
CCGGUCUCCUCUCCACGCUCCUCCCUCAGCAGAGCCCCAGGACACACCGUGAGUGGGGCACAGGGCUGAAAGGACAGAGCAGGAGCAGGAACAGGGAGGAGGCUGCUCACACCCUUCCCACUGCAGGGCAGAUGGCAGCUGGGAUCAGACGAGGGCUUCCCCUGGGAGGGGAGUGUGAGCCCCAGACUUCGGACCAGGCUUUUCACUACCUGAGAAUGAAGUUCUCAGAGCAACAGAAAGGCUAUGGGGUCUGCCAAGAUUUCAUCCAGGACGCAGAAGAAUGGCGGACAAAUGGGGGUUUAUCAGACAGCGCUUGGAGAAAACAGUUUUGUUUGCACUUCGCCCCGUUCAGUCCAGGGCACUCAGUAAGCUGACUGUGUCUGCCAGGCACAGAGCUGGGCGUGAGGAACACAGCAGGCAAGGCUCCUCCACGGGACUGCGCGAAGGCUGCACUCCUGAGACGGUGGCUCGCUUGGGGCUGAAAUCUCAGAGCUCCGCUCGUCCUGAUCUCAAACUCUCCACCCGCCUGCCUCCGAGCUGACUCAUCUUCCGAGACCUGUGUGGUUAGAGUCCCGCAGAGAACCCCUUCCACAGCUGCCCUUCCCAGUGCUUAUUUCACAGCAGGCCACCGUGUCCAAGUGUGCUCCUCCACUCGGCAAAGACUGGGAGCACCUACGAUGUGGCAGACCCUGUGCGAAGCAAAGCCUGCCAGAGAGGAACCACAAUCAACCGACAAUCUAGAGGCCCUGCAACCACAUCUCAUCCUGAUGCAGCUGUUGCAGCUUCUAAAAACAGAAG